rnacentral:rRNA from 1 species
AAUGUGGACUCAGAAUUUAUAGAAGAAUGACUUGGGAAAGUCAGCCAAAGAGAGUAAGAGCCUCGUAUUUUAAAUAGAUUCUGUACCUAGCAGUAUCCUGAGUACGGCGGGACACGUGAAAUCCCGUCGGAAUCUGGGAGGACCAUCUCCCAACCCUAAAUACUCCCUAGUGACCGAUAGUGAACCAGUACCGUGAGGGAAAGGUGAAAAGCACCCCGGGAGGGGAGUGAAAUAGAACCUGAAACCGUGUGCCUACAACAAGUUCGAGCCCGUUCAUGGGUGAGAGCGUGCCUUUUGUAGAAUGAACCGGCGAGUUACGUUAUGAUGCGAGGUUAAGUUGAAGAGACGGAGCCGUAGGGAAACCGAGUCUGAAUAGGGCGUCUUAGUAUCAUGAUGUAGACCCGAAACCAUGUGACCUACCCAUGAGCAGGUUGAAGGUGCGGUAAAACGCACUGGAGGACCGAACCAGGGCACGUUGAAAAGUGCUUGGAUGACUUGUGGGUAGCGGAGAAAUUCCAAACGAACUUGGAGAUAGCUGGUUCUCUCCGAAAUAGCUUUAGGGCUAGCGUCGACAUGAAGAUUCUUGGAGGUAGAGCACUGUUUGGGUGAGGGGUCCAUCCCGGAUUACCAAUCUCAGAUAAACUCCGAAUGCCAAUGAAUUAUGGUCGGCAGUCAGACUGCGAGUGCUAAGAUCCGUAGUCGAAAGGGAAACAGCCCAGACCACCAGCUAAGGUCCCAAAAUAAUUGUUAAGUGGAAAAGGAUGUGGGGUUGCACAGACAACUAGGAUGUUAGCUUAGAAGCAGCUAUUCAUUCAAAGAGUGCGUAAUAGCUCACUAGUCGAGUGACCCU